GAAGUCACGGGCAGAAGCUAGUUUCUAUAUAAAUUCAAUAAGUAAUAACGUGGUUUUGCCCGCCAACACGACACGAGUACACAUACCUAAAUCAAUUAUUUUGCAGAUAGCGUUUGGUCACGGAAUCUACGAAAUAGCACAGGGGGUUGGUAAGAUCCAAACAAGAUACGCAUUGAUAUGGGGCUUGGUAUCAGCUGUGAUCACGUUUGUAUUUCAGAUCAGGAUAAUAGUGCGUUACGCCAUGAAAAACAAUUUAAUAGGAGCCUUUCGAAAUAAUAAGAAGUACGGGCCGUCUGAUCCGCGUGAUCGUAAACGUCGGCGGCGGUACGACGCGUGUAUAGAUGAAAGACAAUGUUUCCACGACUGUCUGUCCAUAGAUGAAGAAAUUGAUUGUAAUCAUUUGCCGCUUAUGAAUACGGGAGAAGGGCGUUCAAGCAUGGACUCGGAAAGCACACUUACGCAAAUGUACGAGUCCGUAGCAUCAAGAACGGAAAGCGUCGUUACUAUUAUGGAAUUGAAACCUGACACUAAAGAGAAGCAGGCUUAAUAAUUAUUACUGUAACAUAACAUGCUGUAACCGAUCUGUUGCUGUUAUUAUGCGUAAACCGACAUCAGUCAUUAACUGUAGAU